rnacentral:rRNA from 1 species
GUGUCAGCAGCCGCGGUAAAACGUAGGAGGCGAGCGUUAUCCGGAUUUACUGGGCGUAAAGCGCGUGUAGGCGGUUUCGUAAGUCGUGCGUGAAAGCUCCCUGGCUUAACCGGGAGAGGUCGUGCGAUACUGUGAAACUGGAGUCAGACAGAGGCAAGUAGAAUUCCGGGUGUAGUGGUGAAAUGCGUAGAUAUCCGGAGGAAUACCAGUGGCGAAAGCGACUUGCUGGGUCUGUACUGACGCUCAGACGCGAAAGCAUGGGGAGCGAACGGGAUUAGAAACCCGGGUAGUCC